GACGAACGCUGGCGGCGUGCUUAACACAUGCAAGUCGAACGGAAAGGCCCUGCUCUUGUGGGGUGCUCGAGUGGCGAACGGGUGAGUAACACGUGAGUAACCUGCCCUUGACUUUGGGAUAUCUUCAGGAAACUGGGGCUCAUACCGGAUAGGAGCUCCUGCUGCAUGGUGGGGGUUGGAAAGUUUCGGCGGUUGGGGAUGGACUCGCGGCUUAUCAGCUUGUUGGUGGGGUAGUGGCUUACCAAGGCUUUGACGGGUAGCCGGCCUGAGAGGGGGAACGGCCACAUUGGGACUGAGAUACGGCCCAGACUCCUACGUGAGGCAGCAGUGGGGAAUAUUGCACAAUGGGCGGAAGCCUGAUGCAGCAACGCCGCGUGCGGGAUGACGGCCUUCGGGUUGUAAACCGCUUUCGCCUGUGACGAAGCGUGAGUGACGGUAAUGGGUAAAGAAGCACCGGCUAACUACGUG
rnacentral:rRNA from 1 species